CUGCUGCUGCCGCUAAGGAUGAAAGUCUAUGC
rnacentral:misc_RNA from 1 species